GUAGAUAUAGUUUAACAAAAACAUUAGAUUGUGAUUCUAAAAACAGAGGUUAAAAUCCUCUUAUCCACC
rnacentral:tRNA from 9 species